UACGGGGGGGGCAAGCGUUGUUCGGAAUUACUGGGCGUAAAGGGCUCGUAGGCGGCCAACUAAGUCAGACGUGAAAUCCCUCGGCUUAACCGGGGAACUGCGUCUGAUACUGGAUGGCUUGAGGUUGGGAGAGGGAUGCGGAAUUCCAGGUGUAGCGGUGAAAUGCGUAGAUAUCGGGAGGAACACCUGUGGCGAAAGCGGCGCACUGGACCACAACUGACGCUGAGGCGCGAAAGCUAGGGGAGCAAACAGG
rnacentral:rRNA from 1 species